UGUUUUUUAAUAGAGACAGGGUCUUGCUAUGUUCCCCAUCCCAGUCUGGAACUCCUGGACUCAACUGAUCCACCCUUAUCGGCCUCCCAAAGUGCUGGAAUUACAGGCAUGAACCACCAUGCCCAACCUUUUUUUUUUUUUCUGUUUCUAAUAUGGUGAAUCAGAUUGAUUUUCAAAUGUUAAAUCAACCUUCCAUUCCUAGAAUAAGCCCCAGUUGGCCAUGAUGUACUGUAUUUAUAUAUUGCUAAAUAUGAUGUGCUGAACUCCUAUUUAGGGUUUUUGUCUAUGUUCAUAAGGCUUAGAGUUUUCUUUUCUUGCAUUGUCAUAGCCUGCUUUUAGCAGCAGGAUAAUGCUGACCUCAUAACAUCAGUCAGGAGGCGUCCUCCCCUAUGCUGUGGCCAAGUGGGUGUGGGCGAGUAUCAUUUCCAUGUUUGGUAGACGUCACCAGGGAGCCCAUCUGAGCCUGUUCUCUUUGUUAACUAUGAAUUACAUUUCCUUAAUAGAGUUGUUCCGGUUAUCUAUUUCUUCCUGAAUGAGCUUUGGGUAGCUAGUGUCUUUCAAUAAUUUUUUCCAUUUCAAAUGAGUGAAUUUCUGUGUGGCACGUUGUUUAUCGUAUUCUCUUCUCCUUUUCGCAUCUGUAGGACCUACAGGUUGUCCUCCUUCCAUUCCUAUGCCGUGCCUUCUUUUUCUCCUGAGUGAUUUUAUUGUUCUUUUCAUUUUCUUUUUUUCUUUUAGAGAUGGAGUCUCGCUCUGUCACCCAGGCUGGAGUGCAGUGGCACGAUCUCGGCUCACAAGCAACCUCCGCCUCCUGGGUUCUAGCAAUUCUCCUGUCUCAGCCUCCUGAAUAGCUGGGAUUACAGGCACACGCUGCCACGCCCAGCUAAUUUUUUGUAUUUUAAUAGAGAUGGGGUUUCACCGUGUUGCCCAGGCUGGUCUCAAACUCCUGAGCUCAGGCAAACCACCUGCCUCAGCCUGAUUUUUUUUUUUUUUUUUUUGAGAUGGAGUUUCACUCUUGUCGCCCAGGCUGGAGUGCAAUGGCAUGAUCUCAGCUCAUUGCAACCUCUGCCUCCCAGGUUCAAGUGAUUCCCCUGCCUCAGCCUCCCCAGUAGCUGGGAUUAAAGAUGCCCACCACCACACCCAGCUAAGUUUUUGUAUUUCUAGUAGAGACAGGGUUUCACUAUGUUGGCCAGGCUGGUCUCGAACUCCUGACCUCAGGCGAUCCACCCGCCUCAGCCUCCCAAAGUGCUGGGAUUACGGGAGUGAGCAACCAUGCCCGGCUCAGCCUGUUCUUUUAUUUUUUUAUUACGGGAGUGAGCAACCAUGCCCGGCUCGGCCUUUUAUUUUUUUAUUGUGAGUGGGUCUUAUGGUGCAGGCCUAACAGUGUGUAUCAGCAUGUGAGGCUUUAUUCACAAUCCGUGCUCCAGGCCCUCUGCACUGGGACAGGA
rnacentral:lncRNA from 10 species